GGUGAACGCUGGCGGCGUGCUUAACACAUGCAAGUCGAGCGAAGCGAUUUCAAGGAAGUUUUCGGAUGGAAUUGAAAUUGACUUAGCGGCGGACGGGUGAGUAACGCGUGGGUAACCUGCCUCAUACAGGGGGAUAACAGUCGGAAACGACUGCUAAUACCGCAUAAGCACACAGUGCCGCAUGGUACAGUGUGAAAAACUCCGGUGGUAUGAGAUGGACCCGCGUCUGAUUAGGUAGUUGGUGAGGUAACGGCCCACCAAGCCGACGAUCAGUAGCCGACCUGAGAGGGUGACCGGCCACAUUGGGACUGAGACACGGCCCAAACUCCUACGGGAGGCAGCAGUGGGGAAUAUUGGACAAUGGGGGAAACCCUGAUCCAGCGACGCCGCGUGAGUGAAGAAGUAUUUCGGUAUGUAAAGCUCUAUCAGCAGGGAAGAAAAUGACGGUACCUGACUAAGAAGCCCCGGCUAACUACGUGCCAGCAGCCGCGGUAAUACGUAGGGGGCAAGCGUUAUCCGGAUUUACUGGGUGUAAAGGGAGCGUAGACGGCACUGCAAGUCUGGAGUGAAAGCCCGGGGCUCAACCCCGGGACUGCUUUGGAAACUGUGGUGCUAGAGUGCAGGAGAGGUAAGUGGAAUUCCUAGUGUAGCGGUGAAAUGCGUAGAUAUUAGGAGGAACACCAGUGGCGAAGGCGGCUUACUGG
rnacentral:rRNA from 1 species